rnacentral:rRNA from 1 species
GGACGAACGCUGGCGGCGUGCUUAACACAUGCAAGUCGAGCGGUAAGGCCCUUUCGGGGUACGACGAGCGGCGAACGGUGAGUAACACGUGGGUGACCUGCCCUCAGCUCUGGGAUAAGCCCGGGAAACUGGGUCUAAUACCGGAUAUGACUUCAUAACGCAUGUUGUGGAGUGGAAAGCCUUGUGCGGCUGAGGAUGGGCCCGCGGCCUAUCAGCUUGUUGGUGGGGUGAUGGCCUACCAAGGGCGACGACGGGUAGCCGGCCUGAGAGGGCGACCGGCCACAC